rnacentral:lncRNA from 1 species
UAGAAGAUCUGAGGUUUAGAAAUUUCUGUAUAAAUGUGUUUAUUCAUUGAAUAAACUUAGAAGACAUGUAACACUUAGUUUUCAUUUGUUCAAAAAUAUAUAGUUCACUUUGUUCUUAUGAUUGUGUAUAGGGAAUAUUACCAUGUACAAUGUUUGUGGAAUCUUGCAUGAUUCUUUGUUCACUCAUUCUGGUUUCAUUUUGUUUUCAUAUGAAACACCUUCAAUUUGUCAAUAUUACAUUGGUGUAAAUUUUUCAGAUAUUUAACUGAAAGAAAUAACAGAAGUAAAAAUGCCAUAAUAAACCUUGGUUCGUUGGAUUUACGGACAACACUAAAUGGGAUUUUAGCCAAUUUUGUUGUUUCAAGAAAAAAUCUUGUGUCUAUUUGUGUCUACUAUGCAGAUUCUUUUUUGUCCAUAAAAUAUCA